rnacentral:rRNA from 1 species
CCUACGGGUGGCAGCAGUGAGGAAUAUUGGUCAAUGGACGCAAGUCUGAACCAGCCAUGCCGCGUGCAGGAAGACGGCUCUAUGAGUUGUAAACUGCUUUUGUACGAGGGUAAACGCAGAUACGCGUAUCUGUCUGAAAGUAUCGUACGAAUAAGGAUCGGCUAACUCCGUGCCAGCAGCCGCGGUACUACGGAGGAUGCGAGCGUUCUCCGGAUUUAUUGGGUUUAAAGGGUGCGUAGGCGGACGGUUAAGUCAGCGGUAAAAGCCCGGGGCUCAACCCAGGAGAGCCGUUGAAACUGGCUGUCUUGAGAUGGCGAGAAGUAUGCGGAAUGCGUGGUGUAGCGGUGAAAUGCAUAGAUAUCACGAAGAACUCCGAUUGCGAAGGCAGCAUACCGGCGCCCAACUGACGCUGAAGCACGAAAGCGUGGGUAUCGAACAGGAUUAGAUACCCUUGUAGUC